rnacentral:rRNA from 1 species
CGAGUUGUAAUUUGUAGAGGAUGUUUCGGGUGAAGCCAGGGUCCAAGUCCCUUGGAACAGGACGUCAUAGAGGGUGAGAACCCCGUACCUGGCCGUCGGUGCCCCCCGCUGUGAAACUCCUUCGACGAGUCGAGUUGUUUGGGAAUGCAGCUCUAAAUUGGUGGUAAAUUCCAUCUAAAGCUAAAUACCGGCCAGAGACCGAUAGCGCACAAGUAGAGUGAUCGAAAGAUGAAAAGCACUUUGAAAAGAGAGUUAAAAAGUACGUGAAAUUGUUGAAAGGGAAGCGCUUGCGGCCAGACUUGCCCGCGGUUGCUCAGCCCGCCUUUUGGCGGGUGCACUCUUCCGCGGUCAGGCCAGCAUCGGUUUGGGCGGCCGGAUAAAGGCGUGGGGAACGUGGCCUCCCUUCGGGGAGGUGUUAUAGCCCCGCGCGCAAUGCGACCAGCCCGGACCGAGGUUCGCGCUUUGCUAGGAUGCUGGCGUAAUGGCCGUAAGCGGCCCGUCUUGAAACACGGACCAAGGAGUCUAACAUCUAUGCGAGUGUUUGGGUGUCAAACCCGUGCGCGUAAUGAAAGUGAACGGAGGUGGGAACCGCAAGGUGCACCAUCGACCGAUCCUGAUGUCUUCGGAAGGAUUUGAGUAAGAGCAUAGCUGUUGGGACCCGAAAGAUGGUGAACUAUGCGUGAAUAGGGUGAAGCCAGAGGAAACUCUGGUGGAGGCUCGCAGCGGUUCUGACGUGCAAAUCGAUCGUCAA